UACGUAGGGUGCGAGCGUUAAUCGGAAUUACUGGGCGUAAAGCGUGCGCAGGCGGUUUUUUAAGACAGGCGUGAAAUCCCCGGGCUUAACCUGGGAACUGCAUUUGAAACUGGCGGGCUUGAGUGUGGCAGAGGGGGGUGGAAUUCCGCGUGUAGCAGUGAAAUGCGUAGAGAUGCGGAGGAACACCGAUGGCGAAGGCAGCCCCCUGGGCCAACACUGACGCUCAGGCACGAAAGCGUGGGGAGCGAACAGG
rnacentral:rRNA from 1 species